CCUACGGGAGGCAGCAGUGAGGAAUAUUGGUCAAUGGACGCAAGUCUGAACCAGCCAUGCAGCGUGCAGGAUGACGGCCCUAUGAGUUGUAAACUGCUUUUGUACAGGGGUAAAACGAGACACGUGUACCUUUUUGCAAGUACUGUAUGAAUAAGGAUCGGCUAACUCCGUGCCAGCAGCCGCGGUAAUACGGAGGUGUCAAGCGUUAUCCGGAUUUAUUGGGUGUAAAGGGCGCGUAGGCGGGAAAGCAAGUCAGAUGUGAAAACUCAGGGCUCAACCCUGGGAUUGCCUUUGAAACUGUUCUUCUAGAGAGUAGUAGCGGUAAUCGGAAUGUAGGGUGUAGCGGUGAAAUGCGUAGAGAUA
rnacentral:rRNA from 1 species